ensembl:rRNA 5S_rRNA 5S ribosomal RNA
GCUUACGGCCAUACCACCCUGAGAACGCCCGAUCUCGUCUGAUCUCGGAAGCUAAGCAGGGUCAGGCCUGGUUAGUUCUUGGAUGGGAGACCGCCUGGGAAUACCAGGUGCUGUAAGCU